GAGCUGCCGCGCUGGCAUUUUCUCCUGGACGCGGAGAGAGUGCGGGUGCCGAGAGCCGGACAGAGCCAUUCCCGAUCCUCUUGAGUCGCGAAGAAGGAAACAGCGAAGGGAUUGGGGUUCGGCCCUGAGGCAAGGCUCUGCUCUUGCCAGGGAGACGAGAGCUAUGGCUCAGAAACCGGACGGCGGUGCAGGCCUCCGCGGCUUCCAGGCUGAGGCCUCUGUUGAAGACAGCGCCUUGCUUGUGCAGACCUUGAUGGAAGCCAUCCAGAUCUCCGAGGCUCCGCCCACCAGCCAGGCCACAGCAGCUGCCAGUGGGCCAAAUGCUAGUCCCCAGAGUUCACAGCCCCCAACUGCCAAUGAGAAGGCUGAUACUGAGGUUUCAGCAGCUGCUGCCAGGCCUAAGACAGGCUUUAAGGCCCAGAAUGCCACCACAAAGGGGCCAAAUGAUUACUCUCAGGCACGUAAUGCCAAGGAGAUGCCCAAGAAUCAGUCUAAGGCGGCCUUUAAGUCACAGAAUGGCACCCCUAAAGGUCCACAUGCUGCCUCUGACUUUUCCCAGGCAGCACCCACAGGCAAAUCAGCUAAAAAGUCUGAAAUGGCCUUUAAGGGUCAGAAUAGCACUAAGGCUGGCCCCGGUACCACCUACAAUUUCCCUCAGUCUCCCAGUGCCAAUGAGAUGACCAACAACCAGCCUAAGACAGCUAAGGCUUGGAAUGACACUACUAAGGUCCCUGGAGCUGAUGCCCAGACCCAGAAUGUAAAUCAGGCCAAAAUGGCUGACGUAGGGACCAGCGCAGGUAUCUCUGAAGCUGAUGGUGCAGCAGCCCAGACAUCAGCAGAUGGCUCCCAGACUCAGAACGUGGAGUCCCGGACUAUAAUUCGGGGCAAGAGGACCCGCAAGGUUAAUAACUUGAAUGUGGAAGAGAACAACAGUGGGGAUCAAAGGCGUGCCUCACUGGCCUCAGGGAACUGGAGGUCUGCUCCGGUUCCAGUGACCACUCAGCAGAACCCACCUGGAGCACCCCCUAAUGUGGUGUGGCAGACACCACUGGCUUGGCAGAACCCAUCAGGCUGGCAAAACCAGACAGCCAGGCAGACCCCACCAGCAGCACGUCAGAGUCCCCCAGCUAGGCAGACACCAUCAGCUUGGCAGAACCCAGUUGCAUGGCAGAAUCCAGUGAUCUGGCCUAACCCAGUGAUCUGGCAGAAUCCAGUGAUCUGGCCAAACCCCAUUGUCUGGCCUGGCCCAAUUGUCUGGCCAAACCCAAUGGCCUGGCAGAGUACACCUGGAUGGCAGAGCCCACCCAGCUGGCAGGCUCCACCUAGUUGGCAGAGCCCUCAAGAUUGGCAGGGCCCUCCAGAUUGGCAGGUACCACCUGACUGGUCAAUGCCUCCUGACUGGUCCUUUCCCUCCGACUGGCCUUUUCCACCUGACUGGAUCCCCGCCGACUGGCCAAUUCCACCUGACUGGCAGAACUUACGACCCUCACCUAAUCUGAGAUCCUCCUCCAACUCUCGUGCCUCACAGAACCAGGGUCCUCCACAGCCCCGAGAUGUGGCCCUUCUUCAGGAAAGAGCAAAUAAGUUGGUCAAGUACCUGAUGCUUAAAGACUACACGAAGGUGCCCAUCAAGCGCUCAGAAAUGCUGAGGGAUAUCAUCCGAGAAUACACUGAUGUCUAUCCAGAAAUCAUUGAGCGCGCAUGCUUUGUCCUGGAGAAGAAAUUUGGAAUCCAGCUGAAGGAAAUCGACAAAGAAGAGCAUCUGUAUAUUCUCAUCAGUACCCCUGAGUCCCUGGCUGGCAUACUGGGAACGUAAGAUGGGAAAGGAGAUGGAGUAUGGUCUUUCUAAGUGAUGCUUUUUUCCCCUAAGAGUCUCAGUAUUCAGUCACAUAGGAGGUCAUGGGCAGAGUGGGGGCAUAAUGAUCUCUGCUGAGGAAUACUGGAGAAGCUAAAUUGGUAAGCUUGUGGGGUUUUUCAUGCAGAUGGCUGCUGGGUAUGUAUAUAUCUAUAUUCUUUUUAUACUCCUCUAGGACCAAAGACACACCGAAGCUUGGCCUCCUCUUAGUGAUUCUGGGCAUUAUCUUCAUGAAUGGCAACCGUGCCACCGAGGCCGUCCUCUGGGAAGCACUGCGCAAGAUGGGACUACGUCCUGGGGUGAGACAUCCCCUCCUUGGUGACCUGAGAAAACUUCUUACUUACGAGUUUGUAAAGCAGAAAUACCUGGACUAUAGACGAGUGCCCAACAGCAACCCUCCUGAGUAUGAGUUCCUCUGGGGCCUCCGCUCCUACCAUGAGACUAGCAAGAUGAAAGUGCUGAGAUUCAUUGCAGAGGUUCAGAAGAGAGACCCUCGUGACUGGACUGCACAGUUCAUGGAAGCUGCAGAUGAAGCCUUGGAUGCUCUGGAUGCUGCUGCAGCUGAGGCAGAGGCCCGGGCUGAAGCGAGAAACCGCAUGGGAAUUGGAGAUGAGGCUGUGUCUGGUCCCUGGAGCUGGGAUGACAUUGAGUUUGAGCUGCUGACCUGGGAUGAGGAAGGAGAUUUUGGAGAUCCUUGGUCCAGGAUCCCCUUUACCUUCUGGGCCAGAUACCACCAGAAUGCCCGCUCCAGGUUUCCCCAGGCCUUUACUGGCCCCAUCAUUGGCCCCAGUGGUACUGCCACCGCCAACUUCGCCGCCAACUUCGGUGCCAUUGGCUUCUUCUGGGUUGAGUAAAUUGUCAGAUACUGCUCAUCAUUUGCAAUAGUUUUCCCUGAGUGAGGCUGAAGCCUCAGGUUCCUUCAAAACACGCUAUCUAGAGAGCCACAUCCUGUUGACUGAGAGUGGCAUGCAAAAUACAUUUAUUUGCUAUUCUGUCUUACUUUUUUUUUUCCUUGUGUGUUGUCAAGUUUUGGUAUCAGAAAUAAAUGUUGAAAUUGCAAAGUGAA